rfam:Oryza glaberrima chromosome 2 Oglab02_0156_5, whole genome shotgun sequence.
AAAAAGAUAAACCCUAAAUUUCUGUGUCCAACGUUUGACUGUCCGUCUUAUAUGAAAAUUUUUAUAAUUAGUAUUUUCAUUGUUAGAUGAUAAAACAUGAUUAAUACUUUAUGUGUGACUUAUCUUUUUAAUUUUUUUCAUAAUUUUUUUAAAUAAAACGAACAGUCAAACCUUAAACUACAGAGGGGAAUUGCUCCUCUAGAG